rnacentral:lncRNA from 1 species
AAACACCAAAAUCCUGCGGGAAAUUUCCCCACCCCUUUUGUUAAACAGACUCAGAAACUUUGAUGGCAACACAGAGAACACGUACAUAUUUAAUUUAAAUGUUAUAGUUUAUAUUUAUAAAUAUUCUCUCACCUCUCUUAUUUUCCUAAACCAGGGGAUGUUGUUAACCAAAGGCUUCACAUUCUCGAAAGCAUUUGUGAAUGUCCUGAGGUGCUUCUCUUUGAGUUGUGUUGAAACUUACGGCCUAGGUUUAUACAACUUCUAGACGAAGGCUCAAUUACGAUAUUCGAGGCAGCCACACACAGCAUCUAUUUACCCAAGUGAUUAAAAAAGAAAAACAAUUCCAUGGCUCUGCAGUGCAGUCAGGGAGGGCUCAGGAAAGGAGCAGGCGCCGCGUGGUGGGACAGCGUGAUUCCAGCGCCUCGGCAUGUCUCAAGGAACAGACGACUGUUGUUCGCCCUGGCUCGCUCUGACUCAUCCUUCCUGUAACUCUCGCUCUUUUGAUUCCCGCGUGGCAUCCUCUGGGCUGUCUUUCUGAUACAGAAGCCGCCGGAUCUGGCACAGAGCUCAGCAGCUACUGUUCCCAUAGACUCCCCUGGAGCUGUCAUAAGACAUGAUUUAUCGAGUGGAGAGCCGUCCCUCUCAAAUCACUCCAGCAUUUCUAAGCCAAAGACUUUUCCCCAUCCACCAGGGCUGUGUGACAUCAUCUUUUUGACCUUCGGACCCGGAAGAUCUGUGCUCAUCCUCAGAAGAUAGGCGUACUGGGUCUAACAUUUACUUUCUCCUUUCUAUUCUCUGACCUGCUUUUCACCAACGUAGAACAGGGGCUACCAUCUGCUGAGCCUGUACUGUGUGUGUGUGGCAAGUUAGAUAUGUCAAUUCAGUAAAUUAUCACGAACCACAUAAAAUGUAGGUAUGUUUUUCAAGGUUUAUAGAUUAAGGUACUGAAACUCAGAGAGGUCAGGUGACUUGCCCAGGGUCACACAGCUAAAGAUGACAGAGCUAGAAUUGGAACCCAGUCCUGUCUGACUCCAAAGCACACAGGUUAUCACUACUCCACAGGUGCCCUCUGCUGUGGACCACAGGGAGAACAAUUGCUCCUUUGCUUUGAAGAAAGAGGAAGGAAAAUUAUUGUAGGUUUGCAAAGAGUUCAUCUACAUUUUUCCCCUCAAAGAGGGAGAUUCCUUAACCCAAAUCGUCCUCACUGUCACCCUGGCUCAGCUACUUGGCUUCCAGAGACACCAAAGUUAAGUGUGCACAUUCUCAAAUAGGUCUCCUGUUUUUAUUUUGUGCAGCAGGCAGGGAGGGGAACUCUUGGCAAGGAGCCCUUCUUUGACAGUAGCCUGGGCAGAGAGAAGAUCAAGGAGGGACGCGUGGGUAUUAGAGUGGCAGGAACAAAGUCCACACCUGUGCCGCCCAACACAGCAGCCACUCACCCCGUAGGGCCGCUGGGCACUGGGAAGGGGGCACGUUCAAGCCAAGCUGUGUUGCCAGGGUAACGCACCCACCAGGUUCCAGAGAUUGUGUAUGAAAAAGAGAAUGUAAAAUAUCUCCUCGAUAAAUUCUUUAUAUUGAUUUUAUGUUGAAAUGAUAUGUUGAAUAUAUCAAGCUAAAUAAAAAUAGCAUUAAAAUUAAUU